UUCUUUUCCUCUUCCUUAGUCGUCGUGCCCUAAUCUCACUCGCACCCAACCGAUCCUCACACGUCCGAUCCCCUCUCGCGAUCCCCUUCAUCUCCUCCCCUCCCUCUCGCGACACAACCCGACCUCUUCGGCUCCUCCACCCGACGGCACCGCCGUGACGCUUCCUCUUCUCUCUCGCGGACAAAAGGGGCGACCAAAAGGAAACUUGGCACUUUUCUCCCGAGUCUUAGCCGAUGCCGAUCCCUCUCUGUGUCGCUACCGACCACCACGGUCUGACUCCGGUCGUCAUCGCCCGUCGUCGCUUGUCGCCGAAGUCGUGCCCUAGAUUUCCCCUUUGCUGCGCAGCGCCCUAGGUGUCGCCCUCUUCCCGCACGGAGCAACGCCGACAUCGCAAAUCGAAGCCAGCCGAGCAUCAGGUACACGAGCUCCUCUCCCUAUCUCCUCACUUUAGGUGCGAUGCUCGGUGCCCUAGCUUCCAUCUCCGACGCCGCCGAUGGGUUACUGCUGACCAUGGAGAUAGAAGUUGGCCCCACAUCUUCAUCCCUGGUCCCUGUGCCCUAGACCGCCGACUCUUGGUGUCUCUUCAUCGCGACACCAGCUGGUCUUCUCACGCCGCUUCUCACUGCUCUGGUUCACCACCACAGUAGCUUUGGGGAGGAGGUUACGAAUCUGGUUUUGGUAAGAUUUAGUUGGUAUUAGGUUAAUAGGGAUCAGAUUUCAUGUUCUGUUGGAUGCUGAGAUUGUUAUAUGACCGAGCAUUUUUGUCCUUUGCUCACCAGGGGUAUUCAAUGUUGAAUCUCAAUCUGGUAGUGAAGAAUUCUUGGUCUUUUCUUAAUCCGAGCAGUGAGGUGAAUUUCCAAUAGGUGGGGUAUUGAUUUUGGGAAUCUAGGAAUUUGAUCUUGUUGUAGAUUUAGGUUAUAGGGUAGUUAGAUGAAGAAUGAAAUAUUUUCUAGAUUUGAUUUAGGUUUAGACUUAAAUCAAAUUGUAUAGUGGAACAAUUAGGGUUAAGGAAAUUAACCCUAGUUGGCCAAGGGACUAAAUUUAGGUAGGGUGAAUGAUCAUGUUGAUUAGGGUAUAAGUGAAUGAUCAUGUUGAUCGCCGACGCCCUACAACCGAACGAUCCCUUCGUUCCUCCUUCCCGAGCAGUUCACAGAGCCAUCCGUGCCUCCUUUCAGGCGGGAUCAAAUCGUGCGGCAAACUCUGGAGGCGACCAACGAGGGGGAUGCAUCGAAACAACUCACUGUUGGUUUUCCCUGAUCAGAUCCUGGUCCUCCUCAUUCUUAUGGCUGGUUGAGGCCUCGAUUGAAGGUGUUGGGAAUCUUUUGAGGUGUUCUUGGUAGAUGUCGGCAGAGGUUUAUAAGGCGGUGAGCUUUAUAUUUCGGCUAUAUCUUAAGGACUCUGAUUUUGCGAUGAGCUGUCUUACGCGAGAUUACAUUUGGCACGCGAUAUAUUGGAGGUUGAUGAUGUCAGGAGAUUCCAGUCGCUAGUCGCUCAUCACUUCGUGUCGCGAUGAUUUUUGAUUUAUGGACUUGGGUUCCAUGUUUGUGUUGAUAUACUACGUUGUUUUCUCUGUAGUGUUUUGCAUUUUCCGUUGUGUAGUGGAGUAGGUGGUUUUCAAAUAUAACAGCGUGGUUGUGUCAGCCAGAGGCUGAUAUAUAUAUAUAUAUAUAUAUAU